GCGCAACGCGGCGGCGCAGUUCGUCUUUUUCUGAAAACAAGAGAGGGCACGGAACGUUGCGAGCAUCGACAGUUCGGUUAGAAAUCCGAGAUAAUCUUACUUUUUAUUUCGAUCUUCCACGGCUGGACAAGGUACUUGAUUUUGAUUGACUUCGAGCGUCUUUUGACGGCAUCCAUUUUUAACCGAGCCGAUGCUAGUUCAGUCUGAUAAUUCGGAAUUUUCCGAUCAGACUACCUACAUAACCUCAAUUUUCACAGCGAGAUGCUGCUGAUAGAAGUAGACACAACGUUGAUAGAUAUUUGAGUGAUUACGUCACGGUUCAACCUCGAAAUGGCUCGGUCUUUCACCUACGACAGGCCUCUGGAUGUCAAAAUAAUACCCGUUUCCGAGAAUUCGAAUCACGAGUUUCAGUGCAGAUUCCUAGAUCUCGCCUUUGCAACGUGACAGAAAAGUUCAAGAACCAUGGAUUUUGGACUAUAACUGUGGAUUUUUGUUGUCAACGUUCAUAAUUGUGUCGACAUCCGAACAAUUCGCAUCAUCCACGUAGUACUCACGCAGUGUGUCCAUAUGGUGUAUCAUACUUGGAGUCUUAGCCACACAAAAGGUGCCGUGCAGUGCGAACGGAAUACAUUGGCUGGAUAAAAACUGGGGAAGCGUUUGAACGAGCAAAUGGAUGGGCAUGUAAAUCUCGUUUGAUAAAUGUGAACAAUUUAUAAACGAGCUGCAGAAAACUACCCAUAUAUGUAUAUUACAGCCGCUCGUUCUCGUCGAGAUGUGGAGAGGUAGGCAACAAAGCCAUGCUGUAUUUGGGUGUUGGCUAUCUAUAAUACCAAAUACAUCGACGAACAUCAAAAGUGAAAAUUACUGUAUUACGAUUGCUUAUAUCGUAUACCACAGUUGGAUUUUUGAGACGAAGGAAAUUCUUAAUAUGUUAAUAAUCAAGUAGUCAGUACACAUAUACAUAUAGUUGGAAUUUUUCUUCACCACCCAGCAACAAUGUAAUCGGAGAAUUUUUUGGGCCUGCCUUUAGUUUGAACCACCAAGGCCGAGUAACCUACAGUGGAUACGGAUACGGAAACAGCUACAAGAUGUUUGUAACAUUUGAUAAGAGAAGAAGAGCCUCUCACGUACACGAAACUUAAUAGCAUCUAAUUUCCGACUCAGCCAGCAGAGGUUGUCAUCUCGACAUAUUGCGCCAUUCGGUUGAGAAGAUCGGAGAUCCCACGCUUUGUAAGCCUUAGCGUGGUUCACGUGUGAUAUACUUAGGAACAAUUUCAGGCUCGGAUUGGGGGUAAUAAAUUGAAUUUAUAUUGAUUAAGUAUGUGUACGGUUGAAUAUCGAAUUCCAUUGAAAAAUUCUGAAACUUAGAAAUUAAAACUCAUAAUAUUCGAAAUAUUUCUAUACAUAUUUUGUGUUCUGGUUCUGUUUGAUUGAAUGAAUUUUAAUUUUUACAUUUUCAAAAUCUCAAAGACGAUCUUGCUGUUUUUCUGUUCAAUUUUUCCUAAUCUUUACCGUGCUCUUACUAUAUAUAACCCCUCAUCAUUUUCUUAUGCAUCAUUGAUAAUUUUUCUCUUUUCUGUAACUCUACUUAAAUCUAAUCGUAUAGUAUCUAAGCGAAAGAAUAAGAGAAGAGGUAAAAAAAGGUGAACAUCUCCAAACACUCUCCACCAAUCCUACACUGACAUAUGCUUUGACACCUGUGUACACAUGCCCUAAGUCAAAUACGUUACUAUGAUUAUACAUGUAAAUUAAAACCUCGAUUUAACGGUCAGUAAUGGGACCAGCUCUGUAUGGCACCUUGUUAAAUCGAGGUUGCGUAGGCGUCUCUUAUGCUGUAUUUUAAUAUCGGCUAUAUAUAGGCAAGCAUGCUACGGUCCUGAACGUGGAGACCAAAAGCGACCCCGACUAUAUCCCAUCACUUGGCAAACCAAUUGAUAAAUGUGACAUGGCGGGAACUGUGGCUUUGAUUAAAGACCGUUAAGACGAGGUCGUAGUGUAUGUUCAUUUUAUGAAUAUAUAUUGAAAAGUAUUAGAUACAUAUAUAGCUUUAUGGCAAACAGCAAAAUAAACUAAUGAGAAAUGUAACUUACGAUAUCGUAAAUAUUUCUGCGGGAAAUGGUGAAAAUUUAAAGUAUCGAGAUGAACUAAACAUUGAUAAACCAAGCCAGUCGUUAUUAAUUUUUCCAAAUGUUUCACUGACGACCCUUCCUGAGGUAAACAGGUGUGCAUGCUGCCAAACAGUACCGACUUUGCAGUCAAUCUACCAAUCGAGAUCUAUAUUCAUACCCCCUCAUGCGUUCAGAUGGUCCUUUAUCAAGUCAAGCAGUUAAUUCCAAGUACAAGGAGCAUUAGACGAGCGUUCGCAAGCUCUUUUGAAUACGCAGGCAUGAUGAAAGACACGUGCAAUCAGCAUCAAAAAGUGAAGAUUUUGAUGAUUUUGAAUGAUGCUGGAAUCAAUUCGUCGUUGCACUUUAUCGAAGUGAUUUUUGGAAGGGAACCCGUUCUACAAAGCCUUGACUCGCUGCGAACAACGGAUCCAAAGUAACGGCCGUAAAACAUACCAUUUACACCGAGCUUUCGAAGAGGUGGCAAGGAAAGAUAACAAAUUCGAAGAUAUGUGGUUUUAACUUCCACCUACUUUCAGUUUAUUCAGUAUGCCUUAAUUCUAGUACAAGUGUUCGGGUGUCAGUGUGUCAUACUUCAAUAAGAUGCCAAAAAGUAUCGAGAGAAAGAACAAAAAAAUAUGCAAUAAUAAAAUUAGCUAUUUCAUGGAAUAUCAGACUAUACAUAUACUAGAUAGGAGAGAUGCGAUGUACACUACGUUAAGGAGCGUACAGUAACAUAUAAGAUAGUUUUUAUUGUCAUUUGUCAGUAUACUUAUAGUUCUGUGAUGCGUACUGGUGCAUGGCACCUCUGCAUAAUAUGACGAUAUAUUGUAUUGUUGCUAUUGUAUAAUACGCAGAUUGCAAUAAACAAAUCAGUAAA
rnacentral:misc_RNA from 1 species